UUGCUGUAUGGCUGUCUGUCCGUCCGUCUGUCCCGCAUUAAACUUUUGCCUCCCCCCACGCAGCCCUGAGGUCGCCGCCGCAGCUCCUGUUUCCUGUCGUGUGUCCCCCCCUCCCCCUACAAAAAUUGGGGGGGUGGGGAGGCUCCCCCAAAUGUCGUGCCUGGUUUUAGGGUCCUCGUGUUCAUUUUGAGGUCCCUGUCCCCCCCUCCUUCAAGGCCCUGGAGCUGGGGGGGGAGCAGUUGAUUCCCCCCCCCCAGAUGUUGCCCUGUUUUUUUUUUUUUGUUUUUUCUUGGGGGGGGGGAUUUGUAAAAUAAAUCUCAAAAAAGCCGCUGCGCCUGGUCCCUGGUGCUGGGUCCCCCCCCACCCCGCAAUGAAGGUGGGCCUCGUGGGGGGUCCGUGUCCACUGAGGAGGAGGAGUGGGGUGAAAUGAGAAGAUUUGGGGUGAAAAGAGAAGAUUUUGGGGCCCUGGGGAGAUCUGGGGGUGAAAUGAGAAGAUUUGGAGUCCUGGGAAGGGAUUUGGGGUGAAAUGAGAAGAUUUCUGGGGCUCGGGGGGGGGAUUUGGGGGUGAACUGAGAAGAUUUUGGGGUUCUGAGAGGGGGAGAUUUGGGGAUGAAAUGAGGAAAUUUGGGGUCCUGGGUGGAGAUUUGGGGGUGAAAUUAGAAGAUUUGGGGGCCCCAUGGGGAGUUUGGGGGGGGUGAAAUGAGAUUUUGGAGCCCUUGAGAGAAUUUGAGGGUGAAACAAGGAGAUUUGGGGCUUGGGCUGGGGUGAGAGGAGGAGAACUAGGGCUCUGGGGGAGGUUUUGGGGUGAAAGGAGGAGAAUUGGGGCCCGGGGGGUGCUUGGGGGGCAGCGGCUGGGUGCAGUGCCCCCAGCGAUGGGACACGGAUGAGACCAGGAUGCUCAGGGCACCACCUCGGAAUUCCUCCAAAAAAAUAAAUUAAAAAAAAAACAGGAUUUGGGGUUUCACCACCCCGUUUCCUCCCGUUUCGGGUCGCCACCCCACCCAGCACCGGUGGCCCCGCUCCUUUCCCACUGCUGCCACCGCUUCCUCUUCACUGCCGGUAUAAAACCGCGCCGCCCCACGGCCCCGUCCUUUGCCGUCAGCACCGGGAGAGCGGCCGCAGCCCGCGGGGACCAGGCAGGAGGAAGGAGAAGGGCUCGCCAAGGAAAUGGGGAAAUCGCGGGUUCCUUGGUGACGGCGAGGGCGGCGAGUGGCUGGAGGCUCUUGUGCAACGCUGGCUCCUUGGGGUGCCGCUGGCCCCGUGGAAGAGCGGCUCUGUAGGGUCAAACAGAGAAAGGCGGCUCCGUAGGGUUGGAAGAGGCAUGGCAUCGCCGUAGGGUUGGAUUGAGGAGGACAUCUCUGUAGGGUUAGAAGGGGAAGGGCAUCUUUGUAGGGUUGGAAGGGCAUCUU
rnacentral:lncRNA from 1 species